GGUGAACGCUGGCGGCGUGCCUAAUACAUGCAAGUCGAGCGAACAGACGAGGAGCUUGCUCCUCUGACGUUAGCGGCGGACGGGUGAGUAACACGUGGAUAACCUACCUAUAGGACUGGGAUAACUUCGGGAAACCGGAGCUAAUACCGGAUAAUAUAUUGAACCGCAUGGUUCAAUAGUGAAAGACGGUUUUGCUGUCACUUAUAGAUGGAUCCGCGCCGCAUUAGCUAGUUGGUAAGGUAACGGCUUACCAAGGCAACGAUGCGUAGCCGACCUGAGAGGGUGAUCGGCCACACUGGAACUGAGACACGGUCCAGACUCCUACGGGAGGCAGCAGUAGGGAAUCUUCCGCAAUGGGCGAAAGCCUGACGGAGCAACGCCGCGUGAGUGAUGAAGGUCUUCGGAUCGUAAAACUCUGUUAUUAGGGAAGAACAAAUGUGUAAGUAACUAUGCACGUCUUGACGGUACCUAAUCAGAAAGCCACGGCUAACUACGUG
rnacentral:rRNA from 1 species